AUAUGAACAACGCAAAUAACACGUUCAGACUCCUAUCGACAUGCUGACGCGAGGCGCGCUCUUUGGGGCUGCGCUCAGGACUGUCAGUGGCCAGGGACAGAAACGGAGAAGAAAGCGAACAAUCUUGGGUGCGGUGCUUCUCGGCGACAGCCAAGUGAGGAGGAUCGCAAUGAUUGAGCGUACAU
rnacentral:sRNA from 1 species